UCAGACGUCCACUCUGUCCCCGUGUCUGCAGAGCCGUGAAACAGAGCUCCUCGCGGUGCUAGCAGUGGGCACUCGCCCGUAACCACAGAGCUGGGGCUGCGGCCUUUGGGCCACAGCGAGAAGAGGACGCACUGUGGGCGAGGCUGCGGGCGAGAUGGAGGCAGGGAGCAGGGAGGACACGGAGCCACAGGGUAAGCACAGGACAGGUCCCUGCCUGGCGGCUGCGCACCACAAGACACAGGGACGCCAACUGGACUCCGUUACCGCCGCCUCGACCGGGUACAAGGGGAGGCCGAUUUCCAUGGCGCUUUGUUAAAGCGAACUCUGUAUAAACAGUUCUAUACAAAGAUGUAGCGUAUGACUGCCGGCCGCCCCCUUCAUGCUCAGCGGUCGGGGACCGUCACGGUCCUGGGGCACAGUCUGAUGCAGCCAUUAACAAUGAUGUUUAGGGGUGCCUAACAUCAGUCCCUGGAGCUCAGGCCCUCGAGCAUCUGGCUCUUGAUUUCGGCUCAGGUCAUGACCUCAGGGUCAUGGCAUCGAGCCCCGAGUCGGGCUCCACGCUCAGCAGGGAGUCUGCUUGAGGUUCUCUCUCCCUCUGCCCCUCCCCCAGCUCGCAGGCUCUCUAAAUAAAUAAAUAAAUAA
rnacentral:lncRNA from 1 species